UACGUAGGCAGCAAGCGUUGUUCGGAGUUACUGGGCGUAAAGGGCGCGCAGGCGGCCCACCAAGUACGAUGUGAAAUCUCCCUGCUCAACGGGGAGGGUGCAUAGUAAACUGGUGAGCUAGAGGACGGUAGAGGGGGGUGGAAUUGCUGGUGUAGCGGUGAAAUGCGUAGAGAUCAGCAGGAACACCCGUGGCGAAGGCGGCCCCCUGGGCCGUACCUGACGCUGAGGCGCGAAGGCUAGGGGAGCAAACGGG
rnacentral:rRNA from 1 species